ACAAUAAAAAUAAAAACCCAAAGCUCGCGUUUUUUACAUUACCGAAAGACAUGAAAAUGUAAGUUUAAGUAGUCAAUUCAAUAUAACAAAAUCAUCUAAUUUCUAUUAUUAUUCAGUGCCAAAAGUUGGAUCGAAUUCUCUGGACGCAAAGAUCUUGACCUGGGUGCUUCGAAAGACUAUAGAAUGUGUAGUGAGCAUUUUACAGAAAACCAGUUCAAAUGUAUAUAUCCACGGACAUUGUUUUGGCAUGGAAGUAUUCCUCAUGUAAAUGGACCUAAAUCAGAUGUUCUUCCUGAAUCAGAGUCUAAGAUGAUCAUCCAUGAAGAAACUGUUCAAACGGAUCAAAACGUACCUCUAUCUAAUAUUGAAAGAUUCUGCGUUUGCUGUGAACAAAUAUUAUCAUUUGAUAAUUUUUGAAAAGGGGACACAUGAAUGCAAAUCAUAUUUAUGUUACAAUGGAAUAAGAAGGUUUUAUAGAAGCAAGUAGCAGUUCGGCCACCCCCAAACGUAGUGGUAGUAAGCUGAGCCCCUUAACCAACCAGAGAAUUGAAAGAAUGAAGGCUAAAAUCAAUUCUUUCCUCAAGAUGUUUAUGACUACACGUUGUCUUUGGGGUGUUCGGUUCGAAAAUCAAAAUAAAAUAAAAAAAGUGAAUACAAAAAAUCAAAAACUCAG